GACGAACGCUGGCGGCGUGCCUAAUACAUGCAAGUAGAACGCUGAAGGAGGAGCUUGCUUCUCUGGAUGAGUUGCGAACGGGUGAGUAACGCGUAGGUAACCUGCCUGGUAGCGGGGGAUAACUAUUGGAAACGAUAGCUAAUACCGCAUAAGAGUAGAUGUUGCAUGACAUUUGCUUAAAAGGUGCAAUUGCAUCACUACCAGAUGGACCUGCGUUGUAUUAGCUAGUUGGUGGGGUAACGGCUCACCAAGGCGACGAUACAUAGCCGACCUGAGAGGGGGAGCGGCCACACUGGGACUGAGACCCGGCACAGACUCCUACGGAAGGCAGCAGUAGGGAAUCUUCGGCCAUGGACGGAAGUCUGACCGAGAUACGCCGCGUGAGUGAAGAAGGUUUUCGGAUCGUAGAGCUCUGUUGUAAGAGAAGAACGAGUGUGAGAGUGGAAAGUUCACACUGUGACGGUAUCUUACCAGAAAGGGACGGCUAACUACGUG
rnacentral:rRNA from 1 species